rnacentral:rRNA from 1 species
UAAGCGACUAAGCGUACACGGUGGAUGCCCUGGCAGUCAGAGGCGAUGAAGGACGUGCUAAUCUGCGAAAAGCGUCGGUAAGGUGAUAUGAACCGUUACAGCCGGCGAUGUCCGAAUGGGGAAACCCAGUGCAAUUCGUUGCACUAUCGUUUGAUGAAUACAUAGUCAAACGAGGCGAACCGGGGGAACUGAAACAUCUAAGUACCCCGAGGAAAAGAAAUCAACCGAGAUUCCCCCAGUAGCGGCGAGCGAACGGGGAGCAGCCCGGAGUCUGAAUCAGCUUGUGUGUUAGUGGAAGCGUCUGGAAAGUCGCAGGGUACAGGGUGAUACUCCCGUACACUAAAGCACACAGGUUGUGAACUCGAAGAGUAGGGCGGGACACGUGGUAUCCUGUCUGAAUAUGGGGGGACCAUCCUCCAAGGCUAAAUACUCCUGACUGACCGAUAGUGAACCAGUACCGUGAGGGAAAGGCGAAAAGAACCCCGGCGAGGGGAGUGAAAAAGAACCUGAAACCGUGUACGUACAAGCAGUAGGAGCCCACUAGUUGGGUGACUGCGUACCUUUUGUAUAAUGGGUCAGCGACUUAUAUUCUGUAGCAAGGUUAACCGUAUAGGGGAGCCGCAGGGAAACCGAGUCUUAACUGGGCGUUAAGUUGCAGGGUAUAGACCCGAAACCCGGUGAUCUAGCCAUGGGCAGGUUGAAGGUUGGGUAACACUAACUGGAGGACCGAACCGACUAAUGUUGAAAAAUUAGCGGAUGACUUGUGGCUGGGGGUGAAAGGCCAAUCAAACCGGGAGAUAGCUGGUUCUCCCCGAAAGCUAUUUAGGUAGCGCCUCGUGAACUCAUCUUCGGGGGUAGAGCACUGUUUCGGCUAGGGGGUCAUCCCGACUUACCAACCCGAUGCAAACUACGAAUACCGAAGAAUGUUAUCACGGGAGACACACGGCGGGUGCUAACGUCCGUCGUGAAGAGGGAAACAACCCAGACCGCCAGCUAAGGUCCCAAAGUCAUGGUUAAGUGGGAAACGAUGUGGGAAGGCCCAGACAGCCAGGAUGUUGGCUUAGAAGCAGCCAUCAUUUAAAGAAAGCGUAAUAGCUCACUGGUCGAGUCGGCCUGCGCGGAAGAUGUAACGGGGCUAAACCAUGCACCGAAGCUGCGGCAGCGACACUAUGUGUUGUUGGGUAGGGGAGCGUUCUGUAAGCCGUUGAAGGUGGCCUGUGAGGGUUGCUGGAGGUAUCAGAAGUGCGAAUGCUGACAUAAGUAACGAUAAUGCGGGUGAAAAACCCGCACGCCGGAAGACCAAGGGUUCCUGUCCAACGUUAAUCGGGGCAGGGUGAGUCGACCCCUAAGGCGAGGCCGAAAGGCGUAGUCGAUGGGAAACAGGUUAAUAUUCCUGUACUCGGUGUUACUGCGAAGGGGGGACGGAGAAGGCUAUGUUGGCCGGGCGACGGUUGUCCCGGUUUAAGCAUGUAGGCGGAUGUUCCAGGUAAAUCCGGAACGUUAUUAACGCUGAGGUGUGAUGACGAGGCACUACGGUGCUGAAGUGACAAAUGCCCUGCUUCCAGGAAAAGCCUCUAAGCAUCAGGUAACAUCAAAUCGUACCCCAAACCGACACAGGUGGUCAGGUAGAGAAUACCAAGGCGCUUGAGAGAACUCGGGUGAAGGAACUAGGCAAAAUGGUGCCGUAACUUCGGGAGAAGGCACGCUGAUGGUAAGUGAAGCGACUUGCUCGUGGAGCUGAAAUCAGUCGAAGAUACCAGCUGGCUGCAACUGUUUAUUAAAAACACAGCACUGUGCAAACACGAAAGUGGACGUAUACGGUGUGACGCCUGCCCGGUGCCGGAAGGUUAAUUGAUGGGGUUAUCCGUAAGGAGAAGCUCUUGAUCGAAGCCCCGGUAAACGGCGGCCGUAACUAUAACGGUCCUAAGGUAGCGAAAUUCCUUGUCGGGUAAGUUCCGACCUGCACGAAUGGCGUAAUGAUGGCCAGGCUGUCUCCACCCGAGACUCAGUGAAAUUGAACUCGCUGUGAAGAUGCAGUGUACCCGCGGCAAGACGGAAAGACCCCGUGAACCUUUACUAUAGCUUGACACUGAACACUGGUCCUUGAUGUGUAGGAUAGGUGGGAGGCUUUGAAGUGUGGACGCCAGUCUGCAUGGAGCCAUCCUUGAAAUACCACCCUUUAAUGGCUGGUGUUCUAACGUGGGCCCGUAAUCCGGGUUGCGGACAGUGUCUGGUGGGUAGUUUGACUGGGGCGGUCUCCUCCUAAAGAGUAACGGAGGAGCACGAAGGUCAGCUAAUCCUGGUCGGACAUCAGGAGGUUAGUGCAAUGGCAUAAGCUGGCUUGACUGCGAGCGUGACGGCGCGAGCAGGUGCGAAAGCAGGUCAUAGUGAUCCGGUGGUUCUGAAUGGAAGGGCCAUCGCUCAACGGAUAAAAGGUACUCCGGGGAUAACAGGCUGAUACCGCCCAAGAGUUCAUAUCGACGGCGGUGUUUGGCACCUCGAUGUCGGCUCAUCACAUCCUGGGGCUGAAGUAGGUCCCAAGGGUAUGGCUGUUCGCCAUUUAAAGUGGUACGCGAGCUGGGUUUAGAACGUCGUGAGACAGUUCGGUCCCUAUCUGCCGUGGGCGCUGGAGAAUUGAGGGGGGCUGCUCCUAGUACGAGAGGACCGGAGUGGACGCAUCACUGGUGUUCGGGUUGUCAUGCCAAUGGCAUUGCCCGGUAGCUAAAUGCGGAAGAGAUAAGUGCUGAAAGCAUCUAAGCACGAAACUUGCCCCGAGAUGAGUUCUCCCUGACCCUUUAAGGGUCCUGAAGGAACGUUGAAGACGACGACGUUGAUAGGCCGGGUGUGUAAGCGCAGCGAUGCGUUGAGCUAACCGGUACUAAUGAACCGUGAGGCUUAACCU